UACGUAGGGGGCAAGCGUUGUCCGGAUUUAUUGGGCGUAAAGAGCUCGUAGGCGGUUUGGUAAGUCUGGUGUGAAAUCUCCACGCUCAACGUGGAGGGGCCACCCGAUACUGCCAUGACUGGAGUCCGGUAGAGGAGUGUGGAAUUCCCGGUGUAGCGGUGAAAUGCGCAGAUAUCAGGAGGAACACCGGUGGCGAAGGCAGCUCACUGGGACGGUACUGACGCUGAGGAGCGAAAGCGUGGGGAUCAAACAGG
rnacentral:rRNA from 1 species